rnacentral:rRNA from 1 species
UGGUGGAGUGAUUUGUCUGGUUAAUUCCGAUAACGAACGAGACCUCAACUUAUUAAAUAGUGGUGCCGAUCUUCUAUACGGGUGAAUCUGGCUUAGGACCGGGCACGCUCGCAAGGGUGGCGCUCGGCCGGGUCAGUGGAUCCUUGAUGUUUCGGCGCUUUUCUUAACUUCUUAAAGGGACUAUCCAUGUUUAAUGGGUGGAAGUGAGGCAAUAACA